UCAUAUUCACGCACCAGCUCACAGAAACAAUACUAAUACACACACCAGUGAGAGAGAGAUAUAGACGCACACCCGCAGAGAGAAUCAUAGGAGAAAGAGAGAAUCGGGAGAGAGUGAAUAAAAAAGGGGUUGAAUAGUGGUCGGUUGGCGUGAACAGUAAACGUUGAACGGAGUAGGGGGAAGAACAGUUUUUCCCGGUGAGCUUGUCACUGGAAUAGUGCCUCAUCGUAGAGUCCGUCCACUCCUCCCUAAAACUCAAUCAAAACCAGCUUCAAACCCCCUAAAAUUAUGACGCUAGUGCCCGACUACUCCGCCGCCACCGCUGUUACUAUUUCGGCAAUGAAUUUUUCGCCUGGAAUGAGCCAAAUCGAUCAAAAUCGUCCCAAAAAUAUUGAGAAAAUAGUGAGUUCACCUUGGGUUUUCGACAGUUAAGUUAGAGGUCUGUUUGUGAUUUGGUAUUGGAAAAAAAAGGAACAAAGGGGAUAUAUCGAAGUUGGAGUUGUUCGUUUGGUGAGGCUCGAUCUGAGAUUAUGGACGCGAUCCAAUCGAAAGGAGCAACUUUAAUCGAAAGCAACAUUUGAGGUUCAAUUCUAUCUUCUCUAUUUUUUUUGUAGUUUUUAACAUAAUUAUGAAUGAUUUAUGUGUUUGGCAUGUUUGAAUCUUCGUUAUGUGUGGGUUGAUGUUGGAUUUGGAUAUGAAAACUUGAUCGGUGGAUUGUAUAUUGAAUUGGUUUAAUCGUGUUAAAAAAGUUGAGGCGCGAAUUGAAAAUUUACUAAAGUGAAUUAGGAUUAAUUUUGAUUUAUUGUUAUUUUGAUUCAUUGACGCCAUCGAUCAUGAUAGUGCCAUGAUAGGUCGAGUUAGGUAGGCAAAAGUAGGCUGGGUAGGCAAAGUUGAGGACCUGUGAUUGUUGAAAUGAUGAAAUAUUUGUGGAGUGGUUUUGAUUUAUGCACUGAGAUCUAUUGUAUUCAUUUGGCCGGGGAAUGCCCCGAGGGAUUUGUAUUGAUUCACCGGGGAAUGCCCCGACGUAUCAUGUAUUCGGAGGACGUCCGUGAUGAAGGCCCGAAGCAUCGGGUAAGGCAUUGGACAUAGUUUAGGAUUAGUGUAGGUUAGCGUAGGUUUAUUUUUCAGUACCUUUUUUAUCAUUUCGGGUUGUAAUAAUUGGACUGGACAUUAUUAUUUUGAUUUUUGGAUUGUUGUUUGAUGUUUGUUUAUGUGCUUUGUGUGGUUUAUAUAUUUGUGGUGUCUAAUUAGCCGAUACUCUCCACCAAGAGACCAUGGUCGAACCACGGGACCGAGGGGUGCCUAACACCUUCCCCUCGGUCAACAAAAUUCCUUAGUUGAAACCUCUGUUCGCGGAUCAGUUUUACAGAGUCAAAAUCGUUUUGAAAAGGAUUUUCCAAAGGUGACUUGGCACACCGGAUUAUGCCAAGUGGUGACUCUGAGUUUUGAAUAUAAAUAAUUCUUUUCGAAAUAAAUUUUUAUUUUUUGUCACUUUGAUAAUAAAAAUCCUUUCAAACUUAAAACGAAAUCUUUUUUGGGUAAAAAAAGGGUGUGACAGCUCUGGCGACUCUGCUGGGGACUUUUUUUUAGAAUUCAAGCUUAUUUUGGAGUUGUAUCGACUUAGUUUGGCACUAUAGGUAUAUAGACAUUUUGUUUGUGUUGUUUUGUGUUAUUGUUUAUCAUUGUUGAGUGCCUACGUGCUCUUUGUUUACAAUUUUUAUUUUAUGUGUUACCGUUUUAUAUCUGGCAUCAUGUGUAUAACCCGAGCCAUUCUUUCUGCAACAAGUCUAUAGUAUACGCUAUGUACACGACCUCUAGUUGAGUCACCUUUAUCUUAGGGGGGAGUCUUCGACUGGUAUGGAGUGGGUGGAAAGCUAAAACAACCACUAUCGACCAUAUGCUCUCCCGAACAGCCUUGUUAGUGAAUCCCAGCGUAGGUCAGCUUUUAGGUCAUGCUUAUCUGCAUCAUAUUGAGACCUAGCGGGACUCACUUGGUCUUUUGUAGGAGACUCACCUCUAAGGCAUCCCUACGUGCUAAAUGUUACAUCUUUGAGGGUAACGUGGUCAUUUGACGGACUAAUUUAAGGGAAAACAUGUGCUAGAGGUAAAGUGCGUAGACAAGAAAUCAUUUGAAAAAAAAAGGAGUUUCGUAGCUUUUAGUGUUCUUUAUGACUUUUGUUUCCCACAAUUCAAAAAUUCAAAAAGAUUUCUUUAUUUUCUGCACUCAUUUUUUUAAAAACCAAAACAUCAAAAAGAUUUCUCACUUUGUCUCCUUUAGCAUGCAUUCAUAAUUAGAAAUUUUCAAAAAAAAAAAAAAUUAGCAGUUUUUAUAAAAGAAAUUGAAAAAUGGUGAAAGAUUUGUACAUUUCAUAUAGUGAAAAUGUCAAAAAGAUUUUCCUUCAUAAUUGUUGGUGUCAGUUUAGCUGAAGUAUCUAAUUAAAAACCCAAAAAUAUUUUAUUCAUUUGUCUUUGGUUGUGUCUCUUAAGUUAGGGUCAAUUUGUUAGACUAUCGUUAAUUGUACAAUCUGGACGAACUACGCACCCGUGAUUCUGCUCUCUCCGGAGUGAGAUACAUAGGUAACCUAUUUUGGGUUGGGGAUCUUAUUUCAAAAAUUCAAAAAAAGAUUUUCUUCACUCUUCAUUUAGAGUAGGUGUUUCAUGUACAUCUUUAAAAGAAAACAACAAAAAAAUAUUUCCCUUUAAUAGGUUCAGGUUUCAUUUUCAUAUGAAAUUCAAAAUCAAAAAUCAAAAAAUAUUUUUUUCGGUAAUCAUAGAUUUCAUUUUGUACAGAAAUCUGAAAAAUUCAAAAAGAUUUUCUUCACUCUUCACUUAGAGUAGGUGUUUCAUAUACAUCUCUAAAAAACUACAAAAAGAUUUUUCUUUAAUAGUUUGAAGUUUCAUUUUCCUAUGAAAUUCAAAAUCGAAAACCCUAAAAGAUUUUUAUUUGGUAAUCAUGGGUUUCAUUUUGUAUAGGGAUGUUAAGACUAAAAAAUGCAAAAAAAGAUUUUCGUCAAUUCUUUUGACAAUUUGUUAUUUUCUUUUCUUCUUAAAGUUUCAAAAAGAAAACAAAGAGUUCAAUUGGCCGUUUUGGCACGACUUAACGAACUACGCACACCUGAUUCUCCUCUCUCGGUGGUGAGAUACGUAGGUGCCCUUCUUGGGUUCGGUGAUCUUUUCAAGAAAAAAAAGGGAGAGAGAGGUUUUGAAAAAUGUUGAACUCUAACAUAUUUGUUGCCUCUUGUUCAGUUAGUUUAAGGUGGUUGGUUUGUGGCUUACUGGUUGGUCCUCCAUAUCACACCAAAUCCAAGGAGGGGUUAGUUGUGUCCAACAAGGAUAUAGAAAGUGGCAUCAUGGAUGAAACAAAGAUUCAGGAAAUUGAGAGUUUAAAGAAAGAGAAUUUGAGACUGAGACAACAAGUGAUGGAAAUAUACCGAGCUUGGACCAGUGGGCUGCCUCCACCUCUGUUUCCCACUUUUGGCCCUGCAAAUACCUUGAGUCUUCCACCAAAAUCGUAAAGUCAGUUUCUGUCUUCUUAUCCACAAUGGCAUGCUCCUGUCCCUCAACAUCGUCCUCGACCCCCACGAAUUUACCAAGGAACCUCUAAAUCCAAGUUUCAUCUAAGGCUAGAGUUAGUGUUGUAAAACAUUUCAUAAGUGAUCUUUAUCGUGCAAUUUUGUAUUGCAUGCUAUGUACUAGCAUUUUCAAAAAUUGAUAUGACGAAGGCAUUUCAUUCUGCUUUCCAAAUAUUGUGUCAUCCUUUGUUUACCCCAUUUGGGCCUUAGUGUUAUUUUCUUUUAUACCCCUCUUUUGGAAUCAAGAUAAAGUCAACAAAAUCCAAAAAAAGUGUCGAAAAAGAAAAAAAAGAUGAGUGUCAAGAAAAAUAAAGUCAGAAAAGUCCCAAAGAUAAAAAGAGUCGACAAAAGAAAAAAAAUAGAAUCAAGUGAAAGAACAAGUUGCCAGAACUACGCAUGACUUGAUUCUCCUCUCUCGAGGGUGAGAUACGUAGGCUGCCUUACUCAGGGCUCGGUCCAACCAAAUAAAUAAUUUAGAAUUGCCCAGUCAAAAAUUGGGGCUUGAGUUAAUCCUCAUUGUUUGAGUCGAUUCCAAAAGUUGUAAGUCCUACCCCACUUUUAGUAUUGUUUGGGCCCCAUGCCAUCCUUUAUUUUCAACCCUAUCCAAAAGCCAAGUUACAAUCAAAGAAAGACCUUCAGAUCAAUCUUUGAGAAUGUUAAGGCUAAGUAUGCAAUGGAUGUGAUGACACAUUUUGAGAACUACUCGUCUUCCUCAGCAUAAAAAAUCAGGAGAGAAAUAAAAAUGAGAGAGUUUUAUUGGUGAAAACCCUCACGGGCACCAUAAGGAGAUGGUAAAUUAAGAAAGAUAAAAAUGAGAGAGUUUUAUUAGUGAAAACCCUCACAGACACCAUAAGGCGAUGGUGAGUUGAGAGAAAAAUGAGAGAGGCUUGUUUGAGAAAACCCUUCAAGGUGCCACUAGCCGAAUGAGGUCUCCGAAUGCAAUGGGUCUAAGUAAGAAACUCAGUUUCAGGGCCAUUAACUCAACAACAAUUGGUAGAAAGUUUGGAUGAAAAGAUCAGGCUGCUUAAUCCAAAAUGCACAGUAUAAUUAUUAGAGUUGACUGUCAUUUUUAGAUUAAUUUAUUGUUUCUUUGUUACAAAUGAGGAUAUUCAUUUUCUUUCCUUUCUUUUCUUUAUUUUUAUUUUAUCUUUCUUGAGUCAGUUAUCCAAAUAAAAAAAUUGUCUUUCUUUUUUUUCUUUUCUUGUCUUUGAGUCAAGUCCAUGUCAAAACAAGUGAGAAAAGAUUUUAAAACUGGCUAUCAGCUUCUUCAAUUGCACAAAGCAAGACAAAAGGGACAGCACAUGCAAAAGACAUGAUUGUGAGCCGAAAUAAGGCAUACAAAAAUUGUGUCAACAGACAAGUUUGGGAACUCAUGAAAAUACCAAGGUUCAAAGGGUUUAUAUGAUGAGCAUGACGAAGCAGAGAUAUCAUUUUAUUUCAGAGUCACUUUUAAUAAACUGAAUUUAGGUCAAUGAUGCAGCAAGUCAAUGAUAAAUGCUAAUGGUUGGAAGCAAGGUUAAAUGUGAUGGGGCAAGAGCGAUCGUCGCGAAAGCUAAAGCCACAAACCAGCCACCGUGUUUUAAACUCACAAGUUUUCUUUGAUGAAAUAGGAAACAUAUUACCUUCAAAGCAAGGACGUCAGAGCAUAAAUAUCAAGGCUUUCAAUGCCUCACGUUUAAAUAUGCACGAAGAAAUGUUGCUGCACAGGUUUGGUAAUCAAAUCAUUGUAAAAUUCAUCAUCUUAUAUCCCUCGGAGACACAUUUUCUUGUCCAGGGAUUUCAUUUUUCAUUUGCUGGGUGAUACACUUCUUAAAUUGAUCCUUCACUCCUAAAAGACGUACCUUUUAGUCGAGUCAUCCCCUUUGACCCCAAAAGACGUACCUUUUAGUAGAGUCAUUUCCUUUGAUUCCUAUAAGACAUACCUUUUACUCGAAUCAUUCCCGCUUGACUCCUAGAAGACGUACCUUUUAGUCGAGUCAUUCCCCUUAACCCCUAGAAGACGUACCUUUUAGUCGAUUCAUUCCUUUGAUUCCUAUAAGACGUACCUUUUAGUCGAGUCAUUCCUCUUGACCCCUAGAAGAAGUACCUUUUAGUAGAGUCAUUUCCUAUGAUUCCUAUAAGACGUACCUUUUAGUCGAGUCAUUCCUCUUGAGGCCUUGACCCCUAGAAGACGUACCUUUUAGUUGAGUCAUAUCCCUUGAUUCCUAUAAGAUGUACCUUUUAGUCGAGUCAUUCCCCUUGAGUCCUUGACCCCUAGAAGACGUACCUUUUAGUUGGGUCAUAUCCCUUGAUUCCUAUAAGACGUACCUUUUAGUCGAGUCAUUUCCUUUGAUUCCUAUAAGACGUACCUUUUACUUGAGUCAUCACCCCUUGAUUCCUAUAAGACGUACCUUCUAGUCGAGUCAUUCCCUUGAUUCCUAUAAGACGUACCUUUUAGUCGAGUCAAUUUCUUUGAUUCCUAUAAGACGUACCUUAUAGUCGAGUCAUUCUCCUUGAUUCCUAUAAUGAUGUGACUUUCACAAAAGUCCUUUGAUAAUAAACUGGGGCAAAAUUUAAUUCUUAUUUUUGGAACUUUACUUUUCUGGCAAACAAAAUUUCUCUUUAUGAAAAACUUUGUUUGGGAUAAUUUUCUUGUUAG
rnacentral:lncRNA from 1 species